rnacentral:lncRNA from 1 species
GAAAGGCCACAGAAGUUCUCCCUCCAUAGGUAGGUGUAGCUCCAGGUCCUGGGUGAAGAAAAUAUUUGUGCAUGGCAACCUGCUGAUGCCAGGGAUUCCACAGCUCCAGCAGUAAGGUCCAAGAUUCUCUGCCUUUGAGGCUUAUCCCCCUCCUUGCUUCUACAUGUUGAAGGAGUAGGAAUUUUUGAGUUCUCCGCAAGCAGUAUUCCAACACACCAACCACCCCUUCUUUUGAUGCCCAAUUUUCCCUAAGCUACAGGAGAGCCAAGAGCAGUGACUAUUCCAAGACGAAAAUCUCACGACAACCUCAACAUGCUCUACUUCUCUAUAACACCACUGGGCCACAAGGAUCUUGCCCAGAAUCAACAGCAGAGGCCUUUUUCCUCAUCCAGGCCCCCAACCGAAAUUCCUAGUAAACGUAAGUAUAGUAUAAUUCUUCAAAAUGUACACCUGUCUAAGUUACCCAAACAUCUCUCUCUUAAAAUAAGAAAUGAAUGCUGCGUCUUUAUUUGAUACUCCAGAAACAAUAAAAAUCUUGUAACAAUAAUUCAUUUGCUAAUAUGCAGAAAACGUCCAUUUAAAAACUGUACUUUAGAGACAUAAAAAUAGUCUGCAAACUACUGACAACUGUCUGCUUUUCCUGCUUUUCCUCAGGGCUCUAAUAUUUAUUUGUUAUUUUUUAAUGUUAAUUUUUAAUUUUCUUUUCUUUUUCCAUUAUGGUUUAUUACAGGAUAUUGAAUAUAUUCCCUGUGCUAUACAAUAGGACCUUGUCGUUUAUCCAUUCUAUGUAUAAUAGUUUGCAUCUGCUAGUCGCAAACUCCCAAUCCAUCCCUCUCCAGAAUGUUACUCUUUAAAAUACUAGGGGCAACACAAGUUAUAGUAUUUCUAGGGUAUCAAGCCACUGAAACAAAACUGGAAUGGAACUUGACCCCUCCAAAGGAAAAAACAAAACAAACAAAAAACAUAUUAUUUAAAGGUUUUCAUUCUCUAACAUAUUUACAUACACAGGUCUAUUUUUGUAAUGAUAUUUUGAUCUAAAAUUAUUACAAAUCUUUAAGAAUGCCAGUUAAUAGGGCGAGUAAUACCUGAAUUUAGAAGCAAAUAAAAUCACAGUAUAUUCUUCUAGGAAGAAAAAAAAUGCAUUUUAAGAUAAAUUAACUGUCUUCAAACAUCUUGGACUGUCAUUGUUUAUUAAAUACCACAAUGCCCUCAGGUGUUUGUGUUUUUUUUAACAUUUUUCCAUCUAUUUUCUUUGAGAAGAAUUCAGAGAGAGAAUAACAACUUUCACCUGUAUCAUAGCUGACAUUUUUUUAAAGUACUUUCAUGUGCAUUAUUUCAUCUGAUUCUUCAACAGUUUCACUAGACUAUAGCUUCUUGAGGGCAAGGCCAUUUUUCAUAUUCUGCCAGUGCUUUGCAGAGAGCAGGCCAAUUUUUCCCUUAUGGUUAAAGCUAGGGUUUGCCUCCCCAGUUCUGCUCUCUGAAGCAUCACAAAGUUCAGUCCCUCUGCUAGUUGAAUCCAGCUAGCACACCCCCUUCUCCCCUACCAUCACGUCCUCUUUAUUCCUAAUUACAUAUCGCUAAGUAUUCUUAAACUCAAUACACCAUAUACAGUCUGAGUAACAUACCUAUUCUGAAUAAUAUACCAGUAAAUGCUGGCUAUGUCUGUAUAUUCUUUAGUCAAUCAUAUCCAUUGCUGACAAAUAUUGAG